rnacentral:rRNA from 1 species
AUUGAACGCUGGCGGCAGGCCUAACACAUGCAAGUCGAACGGAUCCUUCGGGAUUAGUGGCGGACAGGUGAGUAACACGUGGGAACGUGCCCUUUGGUUCGGAACAACUCAGGGAAACUUGAGCUAAUACCGGAUGUGCCCUUCGGGGGAAAGAUUUAUCGCCAUUGGAGCGGCCCGCGUCUGAUUAGCUAGUUGGUGAGGUAAAGGCUCACCAAGGCGACGAUCAGUAGCUGGUCUGAGAGGAUGAUCAGCCACAUUGGGACUGAGACACGGCCCAAACUCCUACGGGAGGCAGCAGUGGGGAAUCUUGCGCAAUGGGCGAAAGCCUGACGCAGCCAUGCCGCGUGAAUGAUGAAGGUCUUAGGAUUGUAAAAUUCUUUCACCGGGGACGAUAAUGACGGUACCCGGAGAAGAAGCCCCGGCUAACUUCGUGCCAGCCGCCGCGGUAACAC